rnacentral:rRNA from 1 species
GAUGAACGCUGGCGGCGUGCUUAACACAUGCAAGUCGAACGGAAAGGCCCUGCGCUUGUUGGGUGCUCGAUUGGGGAAAGGGGGAGUAACACGCGUGGAACCUGCCCCUGACUUUGGGAUAACUUUACGGAACUGGGGCUAAUAUCCGGGAUGAUCUCCUGCUCCACGGGGGGGGUUGGAAAAUUUCGGCGGUUGUGGAUGGUCUCGCGGCUUAUCAGCUUGUUGGUGGGGUAGUGGCUUACCAAGGCUUUGACGGGUAGCCGGCCUGAGAGGGUGACCGGCCACAUUGGGACUGAGAUACGGCCCAGACUCCUACGGGAGGCAGCAGUGGGGAAUAUUGCACAAUGGGCGGAAGCCUGAUGCAGCAACGCCGCGUGCGGGAUGACGGCCUUCGGGUUGUAAACCGCUUUCGCCUGUGACGAAGCGUGAGUGACGGUAAUGGGUAAAGAAGCACCGGCUAACUACGUG